rnacentral:rRNA from 1 species
GAUGAACGCUGGCGGCGUGCUUAACACAUGCAAGUCGAACGAUGAAGCCCAGCUUGCUGGGUGGAUUAGUGGCGAACGGGUGAGUAACACGUGAGUAACCUGCCCUUAACUCUGGGAUAAGCCUGGGAAACUGGGUCUAAUACCGGAUAGGGGCGUCCACCGCAUGGUGGGUGUUGGAAAGAUUUAUCGGUUUUGGAUGGACUCGCGGCCUAUCAGCUUGUUGGUGAGGUAAUGGCUCACCAAGGCGACGACGGGUAGCCGGCCUGAGAGGGUGACCGGCCACACUGGGACUGAGACACGGCCCAGACUCCUACGGGAGGCAGCAGUGGGGAAUAUUGCACAAUGGGCGCAAGCCUGAUGCAGCGACGCCGCGUGAGGGAUGACGGCCUUCGGGUUGUAAACCUCUUUCAGUAGGGAAGAAGCGAAAGUAACGGUACCUGCAGAAGAAGCACCGGCUAACUACGUG